rnacentral:lncRNA from 1 species
GGCAGAAGGAGCCGGGCUUAACGCGGGGGGAGCUGCCGCGGAGGGGAAGAGAGGGGCGCGGAGCUGAGUGCCGCAGUGCCGCCGUCGGAGGGGCUGCAGUUCACUCAGUGGCUCAAGCUUCCUGUUUUUGCUGGCCUCCUCACUCAAGUCUACCUUGAGUCCUUCCCUCUGAAGGGAAGAUUAAUGCUACUAAUUUCACUUAUGUGA